rnacentral:ncRNA from 1 species
GCCGUUGCUAUGGUAAUCCUGUUUAGUGCGAGAGGAACCGCGGGUUCAGACAUUUGGCAUAUGUGCCUGGCCGAAAGGCCAAUGGUGCGAAGCUACCAUCUGAGGGAUUAGGAUUGAACGCCCCUAAGUCUGAAUCCCGUCCAGAUAUACAACGGU